UACGGUGAAUACGUUCCCGGACCUUGCACACACCGCCCGUCAAGCCAUGGAAGCCGGGUGUACCUAAAGUCGGUAACCGUAAAGGAGCCGCCUAGGGUAAAACUGGUGACUGGGGCU
rnacentral:rRNA from 1 species